GUGCUCGCUUCGGCAGCACAUAUACUAAAAAAUUGGAACGAUACAGAGAAGAUUAGCAUGGCCCCUGCACAAGGAUGACACGCAAAUUUGUGAAGCGUAGGAAUGUAGC